AAAGUCAAACUCCAUUGGACAUUGAGGUUUAGACUUUGCAAAUGCCAAGGCCCUUUAGGCACUGAGAGUUAAACCCUGCGAAGUCCAAGGGCCUUUGGACACUGCACUUUGGACACUGUUUGUGCCAAGGAGCGGAUGGACACGCGACGGGGAGCUCGAGGUCUUUCUCACCAGGGACAAUCCUCCCGAGCCCCUGAGGCACUGACAGAC